CACGGGGGGAGCAAGCGUUGUUCGGAAUCACUGGGCGUAAAGGGAGUCUAGGUGGUCAGGUAAGUGGAAUGUGAAAUCCCUCGGCUCACCCGAGGACCUGCAUCCCAAACUGCCUGGCUUGAGUAUGGGAGAGGAUGAGGGAAUUCCUGGUGUAGCGGUGAAAUGCGUAGAUAUCUGGAGGAACACCGGUGGCGAAGGCGGCAUCCUGGACCGGUAUUGACGCUGAGGCGCGAAAGCUAGGGGAGCAAACGGG
rnacentral:rRNA from 1 species